CUGCCCCGCCCCACCCCGCCCCGCCCCGCCGCGGCGCCGGCUCUGCGCGGAGACGCGCCCGCGGAGGCUCAGCCCCACCCCGCGCCCGGCCUGCCCGACCCCGGCGCGUCCCGAUGUGCUGCGCUUCGCGGGGCGCAACGCGGCGCGAUGUGCGCAGGCUCCUUUAUAGUAGUGAGAUGCUGCAAUAAGGUCUUCUCAGAGCCUUCUCUUCUCCAAAUUUUCUUCCUUUGCAGUGCUUCUGACCAUGGAGAGCUGCAAUGAAAAUAUGCUAAUCAGAAUGCAUAGAGGAAGAACAGAAAGAAAAUAUGGGGGUGUACAAGAGGGGAUGGGUUUGCUCUCCCACUUAAGAGCUACCCUGGCCUUCCCCGCCUGGGAGGCAGCGGAGGACCAGCACAGCUUGCGGCGAUGGAGGCAAGUGCAACCGUGGUGCCAGAACAGCACCGAC